rnacentral:rRNA from 1 species
CCUACGGGUGGCUGCAGUAAGGAAUAUUGGUCAAUGGACGCAAGUCUGAACCAGCCAUGCCGCGUGAAGGAUGAAGGCCUCUGGGUUGUAAACUUCUUUUAUAGGGGACGCGGUACCCUAGGAAUAAGCACCGGCUAACUCCGUGCCAGCAGCCGCGGUAAUACGGAGGGUGCAAGCGUUAUCCGGAUUUACUGGGUUUAAAGGGUGCGUAGGUGGGGUGGUAAGUCAGUGGUGAAAUCUUCAAGCUUAACUUGGAAACUGCCAUUGAUACUAUCAUUCUUGAAUUAUCUGGAGGUAAGCGGAAUAUGUCAUGUAGCGGUGAAAUGCUUAGAGAUGACAUAGAACACCCAUUGCGAAGGCAGCUUACUACGGAUUAUUGACACUGAGGCACGAAAGCGUGGGGAUCAAACAGGAUUAGAUACCCUAGUAGUC